UACGUAGGGCGCAAGCGUUUAUCCGGAAUUAUUGGGCGUAAAGAGCUCGUAGGCGGUUUGUCGCGUCUGCCGUGAAAGUCCGGGGCUCAACUCCGGAUCUGCGGUGGGUACGGGCAGACUAGAGUGAUGUAGGGGAGACUGGAAUUCCUGGUGUAGCGGUGAAAUGCGCAGAUAUCAGGAGGAACACCGAUGGCGAAGGCAGGUCUCUGGGCCGUAACUGACGCUGAGGAGCGAAAGCAUGGGGAGCGAACAGG
rnacentral:rRNA from 1 species